CUAAAAAUCUAGCCCACCAAACAACACCCACUCACACCACUAAGUAAAAUAUUUUUUCAACCUAGUAAAGAAGAUUAAAAAAUUCCUACGGAGCUAUACUCUUGUACCGGCAAGGGAAAGAUGAAAUAAUAAUGAAAUAAUUAUAAGCACAAAAUAGUAGAGUCUUACCCUCGUACCUUUUGCAUCAUGGUUUAGCUAGUCUAAUUAGGCAAAAAGCUUUUAAGUCCAAGCCCCCGAAACUAAGUGAGCUAAUUUAGGGCAGCCUACGAGCUAACUCAUCUAUGUUGCAAUAUAGUGGGAAGACCUUAAAAUAGAGGUGACAAAUCUAACGAACUUAGUUAUAGCUGGUUUCUCAGGAAAAUGAAUGUUAGUUCCGCCUAAAGCCACCAAAAUUUAAACAAAUCCCACAUGACUUUAGAGUAAUUCAAACAAGGUACAGCCUGUUUGACAUCGGACACAACCCCAGCUUACGGGUAACACUAUUAAAAACUUCAAUAAGUGGGCCUAAUAGCAGCCACCUUUUAAAAAGCGUCAAAGCUUCAAUGUUUUAAAUAAUAACUAAGCCAAUAUAGACCCCUAUAACCGUACUGAGAAGUUCUAUACAGUAUAGAAACUUUUAUGCUAAAACUAGUAACAAGAGUUUGUACUCUCUAAAUGCGGGCAUAGGCCAGUAAGAACCCAUCCCUGGCAAUUAGCAAGCAAAAUAAUAACCCAUCAGGAAAACCUUAUUAUUAUAAAUGUUAACCUAACACCAGAGCAUUUCUAGAAAGAUUAAAAGAUAAAGAAGGAACUCGGCAAACAUAAACCCCGCCUGUUUACCAAAAACAUCGCCUCUUGAAUUUAUUAGAGGUCCAGCCUGCCCAGUGACUUCUGUUUAACGGCCGCGGUAUCCUAACCGUGCGAAGGUAGCGUAAUCACUUGUCUUCUAAAUAAAGACUAGUAUGAAAGGCAUCACGAGGGUUUAACUGUCUCCUCUCUCUAAUCAGUGAACCUAAUCUCCCCAUGAAAAAGCGGGGAUUCCCUUAUAAGACGAGAAGACCCUAUGGAGCUUAAAACAUCCUACACGUGCCUAACAAUUAUCUACCCCGGUACCCACACCCCUCUGCACGAUGAUUUUAUGUUUUUGGUUGGGGUGACCGCGGAGAAUAACACAUCCCCCGCAAUGAAAGGAGUCUCUCCUUAACUGUAAGCCACAACUUUAUGUAUUAAUAUAUUAACAUCAUUGACCCAAUAAAUUGAUUAAUGAACCAAGUUACCCUAGGGAUAACAGCGCAAUCCACUUCCAGAGCCCCUAUCGACAAGUGGGCUUACGACCUCGAUGUUGGAUCGGGGUAUCCUAGUGGUGCAGCCGCUACCUAAAGGUUCGUUUGUUCAACGAUUAAAACCCCACGUGAUCUGAGUUCAGACCGGAGUAAUCCAGGUCGGUUUCUAUCUAUAACAGAGCUAUUUUCAGUACGAAAGGACCAAAACAGCAUGGCCUAUACUCCAAGCAAGCCAUAGCUAAUAAUUUCUGCUAACCAAUCAAAAAUCACUAGCCUAACACUCCCUCACCUUCAAGAGAAGAAC
rnacentral:rRNA from 1 species